rnacentral:rRNA from 1 species
CCCUUAGAUGUUCUGGGCCGCACGCGCGCUACACUGAUGCAUUCCACGAGUCUAAAACCUGCUCUGAUAGGGGUGGGUAAUCUUUUGAAUGUGCAUCGUGAUUGGGAUAGAUGAUUGCAAUUUUUCAUCUUCAACGAGGAAUGCCUAGUAAACGCAAGUCAUCAGCUUGCAUUGAUUACGUCCCUGCCCUUUGUACACACCGCCCGUCGCUCCUACCGAUUGAAUGAUCCGAUGAAUAUCAUGGAUUGAGGAUGCAAGUAGGUUAGCCUAUCUUCAUCUUCGAGAAGUGAAGUAAAUCUUAUCAUUUAGAGGAAGGAGAAGUCGUAACA